CACAAAAAUGAGGCUAAAACAGUUUGACCUUGGAAACAGACGAUUAAGUGAGUUUUACUUUGGACCUGAUUUUAUAGCUUUUUUAAAAUUAAAUCAAUAAAUAAACAGAGCUAGCUUUAGCUAGCAGUCCAUAAACAGGAACCCCCCAAAAAGAGGUUGGUGUUUAUCCACCAAAAACCCCACAAAUACAGGACAGAGAGCUAGCUAGCUAGCUAGCUAGCUAGAUAUAUAUUCAAAAUAGAGUUUACUCAGUUUACUGAUUGAGGCCAUUUCCUCCAGUUAAUUUAGUAGCCUGCCACUGUGACGGCACAAUAAUUAAA